AACGGUCUAUACCUGCGGUACCUGCGGAGGGAUCAUUACCGAGUGCGGGCCCUCUGGGCCCAACCUCCCACCCGUGACUACCGUACCCUCUGUUGCUUCGGCGCGGCCCCUGCGCGGCCCGCCGGAGACCCCCUCAGGAACGCUGUCCUCUGGAAGGUUUGCAGUCUGAGUUGGCAUGCGAGAAAUCGGCUAAAACUUUUAACAAUGGAUCUCU
rnacentral:misc_RNA from 1 species